rnacentral:rRNA from 1 species
GAUGAACGCUGGCGGCGUGCUUAACACAUGCAAGUCGAACGGAAAGGCUCCUGCUUGCAGGGGUACUCGAGUGGCGAACGGGUGAGUAACACGUGGGUGAUCUGCCCUGCACUUCGGGAUAAGCCUGGGAAACUGGGUCUAAUACCGGAUAGGACGAUGGUUUGGAUGCCAUUGUGGAAAGUUUUUUCGGUGUGGGAUGAGCUCGCGGCCUAUCAGCUUGUUGGUGGGGUAAUGGACUACAAGGGAGUCGACGGGUAGCCGGCUUGAGAGGGUGUACGACCACAUGGGAACUGAGAUAGGGCCCAGACCCCUACGGGAGACAGCAGUGGGAAAUAUUGCACAAUGGGCGCAAGCCGGAUGCAGAAACGCGGGGUGGGGGAUGACGGCCUUCGGGUGGUAAACUCCUUUCGCUAGGGACGAAGCGCAAGUGACGGUACCUGGAGAAGAAGCACCGGCUAACUACGU